CAAGGAUGAGCUCAAUUUUAUUCUCCAGGCCUAUUACUCCAAUCACUUUCUAUAAAGGAUAAAGCCUUAUAAAGUGAUAAAAUCUUUUGGGAAUGGCUAAUGUGGGACAAAGAAAUUUCUACUCAAACUAUUCAAAUUUCCAACAAUACCCCACAUUUGAGUUGAAAUUUCAUUCAAACUCCAACAAUUACCCCACAUUUGAAUGCAAAUGUAAAUGCAAAUGGAUGACUAGGCUGCCUAAGAAUGAGAGAGAAUAGACAUGAUAUGCAUCGAGUGAAGUGUCUUUUGGACUUGAACUUACCCUAGUGAAAACAUAUUGGGUUUACUUGGUGAUGCAGUGGAUGUGGAAGAUCUUGAACUGUCCACCGCAGUAGUAAACCGAGACAAUAUGUUACACACAUAUCAUGUUUGCCACACGUAAAUUCAUACGGUUAUGUUCAUUUUGGCCCUAAACAGAUCCCGGAUUUCGUAGGAGCUUUAGAAUUUAGCCAUGUCAAUUCUCAUAAAUGUGGCCCCAUUUGCUCCUAUAUAAGUGACAUUAAUUAAGAAUAGUCUGCCAUAUUCCUCUUGAUAACAAGAUAUUAAUGUCAUUAAAUGUAUAAAACAUAACCCCUCAAACGUCAACAGACAACACACAUUUUAUCAUAAGAAUGGGUAAGUUGUGUAUUCAACUUUGGAAUCAAACUCAACCAGUUUGCCUAUUGAAC
rnacentral:lncRNA from 1 species